AUUGAACGCUGGCGGCAGGCCUAACACAUGCAAGUCGAGCGGAGCGGCGGACGGGUGAGUAAUGCCUAGGAAUCUGCCUGGUAGUGGGGGAUAACGUCCGGAAACGGGCGCUAAUACCGCAUACUAUCAGAUGAGCCUAGGUCGGAUUAGCUAGUUGGUGGGGUAAAGGCCUACCAAGGCGACGAUCCGUAACUGGUCUGAGAGGAUGAUCAGUCACACUGGAACUGAGACACGGUCCAGACUCCUACGGGAGGAAGCAGUAGGGAAUAUUGCACAAGGGGCGAAAGCCUGAUGCAGCCAGGCCGCGUGAGUGAAGAAGGUUUUCGGAUUGUAAAACUCUUUUAGUUGGGAAGCGUUACCAACUGAGUAAGCCCCGGCUAACUACGUGCCAGCAGCCGCGGUAAUAC
rnacentral:rRNA from 1 species